rnacentral:rRNA from 1 species
UUAUGUACAUGACUACAACAUUAAUGCAUCAGAUCCCAUCAUAAAUCCAUAGUUAAGCGUUCUUUAGCUAGAGUAGUACUGGGAUAAGUGACCUUCCAGGAAGUCCUAGUGUUUUACAUGCC